GACGAACGCUGGCGGCGUGCCUAAUACAUGCAAGUAGAACGCACAGUUUAUACCGUAGCUUGCUACACCAUAAACUGUGAGUUGCGAACGGGUGAGUAACGCGUAGGUAACCUGCCUGGUAGCGGGGGAUAACUAUUGGAAACGAUAGCUAAUACCGCAUAAUAUUGAUUAUUGCAUGAUAAUUGAUUGAAAGAUGCUAUUGCAUCACUACCAGAUGGGCCUGCGUUGUAUUAGCUAGUAGGUGAGGUAACGGCUCACCUAGGCGACGAUACAUAGCCGACCUGAGAGGGUGAUCGGCCACACUGGGACUGAGACACGGCCCAGACUCCUACGGGAGGCAGCAGUAGGGAAUCUUCGGCAAUGGACGAAAGUCUGACCGAGCAACGCCGCGUGAGUGAAGAAGGUUUUCGGAUCGUAAAGCUCUGUUGUAAGAGAAGAACGGGUGUGAGAGUGGAAAGUUCACACUGUGACGGUAUCUUACCAGAAGGGGACGGCUAACUACGUG
rnacentral:rRNA from 1 species